GAUGAACGCUGGCGGCGUGCCUAAUACAUGCAAGUCGAGCGAACGGACGAGAAGCUUGCUUCUCUGAUGUUAGCGGCGGACGGGUGAGUAACACGUGGAUAACCUACCUAUAAGACUGGGAUAACUUCGGGAAACCGGAGCUAAUACCGGAUAAUAUUUUGAACCGCAUGGUUCAAAAGUGAAAGACGGUCUUGCUGUCACUUAUAGAUGGAUCCGCGCUGCAUUAGCUAGUUGGUAAGGUAACGGCUUACCAAGGCAACGAUGCAUAGCCGACCUGAAAGGGUGGUCGGCCAGACUGUAUCUGAGACACGGUCCAGACUCCUACGGGGGGCAGCAGUAGGGAAUCUUCCGGGAUGGACGAGUGCCUGACGUAGCAACGCCGCGUGAGUGAUGAUGGUCUUCGGAUCGUAAAACUCUGUUAUUAGGGAAGAACAUAUGUGUAAGUAACUGUGCACAUCUUGACGGUACCUAAUCAGAAAGCCACGGCUAACUACGUG
rnacentral:rRNA from 1 species